GGGAAUCAAACCCCAGACCAGAGGGGACUUACAACUGACAAGCAGAUGCUCGACCAACUGAUCUGAGUACACGGUGCAUGAUACAGAGAGGUUAACCAUAGAUGGUUUUGGUAAAGCUAGAUACUUUGAGGCUAAGAAUGUGGUGGUUAAGGUUCAUGUCUAUGGUUCGAAAGAUGAUGGAGCUGAUGAUUGACAGAGACAGCUGGUGGAGGAGCAAGCCGGGUGCAGUAAUGUGAGAAGCUAAUCUUUCAGUAAUAAAAUGGCCCCGGCCGGAUCAACGUUCAGUUGCGUGAAGGGACGCGGACUAUGGAUGGCUCACGAAGCUGCAUCUUCGCCUUUUUUGGGUGCCCAUUUGUCCAGGACACCAUCCCCACCCGCUCAUGGCUUUGCCAAGCGGGGCCUCACGGACAACAUGGCUUGCCCUUGGGGCUGCGCCGAUACCGAAGACCGCGACCAUCUUGUUUCUAAAUGCUUGUUGUUUUGUAAGGUUAAUGUGAUCCUGAUGUCUUGGGGGAUUCCUGACCGGCGUUCAACAAUUUUCAGGAUGUUGUUGGUCUCAGCACCAUCCGGAAAUGCAGCAUUGUUGAAGCCCAAUAUUAUUGCUAUGUGAUCCACCAUUGCUGGCAAGCUCGCAACGCUAACAUUCAUGAUCGUCUCUAUGGUACUCUGCUCUUACCAAAAACAUCUUUUGAUCCAUUUCGGGGGCAAAGAGAUGCUAACCAAUCCAUUGGAAUUGGGGAAAUUCGUGAUGAAAGCGUCAUAGACAUUAUGGCUAUGGGACAGUAUUUCGGGUGCUGGGAUGACUCAAAGGGGGAGCUUAUGGCGGUUCGAUUUCUCUAAAAUAUUUGUCAACCGUGGAUGUUUGAUCUCAAAGGCGUGAUAGUUGAAGGGGAUAACACGAACAUCAUCCAACUUUUGAGCUCUCCUCCCGCACCUUGCAACCGAGUUUGCCUUCCUUUUGUCUAUACGACUGGAGAAGUCCACACAUUCUUGUGCUAAGCGCGACUUUAGUGAUUCUUUUGUUUUAUUGCAUGUAGAUGACGAUAGAGAACUAUCUAUCAUAUUUGUAGAUGAAAGUCUUCGUCCUGCACAUUUCGUCUUGUACAUCACAGAUGUAUACAUGCAUAAUUUUUUGAAUUUAUUUGAUAUUUUAAUACAAAUGCAUGUGUAUUUCAUUUAUUAAAUAUUAAAAGUGGUAAUAAUAAUAACAAAAAAGAAUUGUAAUGCUGCGACAGCUCACGUGAAUGCACGAGGAAGGCUUCAGCGUGGGCACGUCAGAGUUGGUGGAUUCCUUCAA